rnacentral:rRNA from 1 species
AUUGAACGCUGGCGGCAGGCCUAACACAUGCAAGUCGAGCGGAUGAAGGGAGCUUGCUCCUGGAUUCAGCGGCGGACGGGUGAGUAAUGCCUAGGAAUCUGCCUGGUAGUGGGGGAUAACGUCCGGAAACGGGCGCUAAUACCGCAUACGUCCUGAGUGAGAAAGUGGGGGAUCUUCGGACCUCACGCUAUCAGCUGAGCCUAGGUCGGAUUAGCUAGUUGGUGGGGUAAAGGCCUACCAAGGCGACGAUCCGUAACUGGUCUGAGAGGAUGAUCAGUCACACUGGAACUGAGACACGGUCCAGACUCCUACGGGAGGCAGCAGUGGGGAAUAUUGGACAAUGGGCGAAAGCCUGAUCCAGCCAUGCCGCGUGUGUGAAGAAGGUCUUCGGAUUGUAAAGCACUUUAAGUUGGGAGGAAGGGCAGUAAGUUAAUACCUUGCUGUUUUGACGUUACCAACAGAAUAAGCACCGGCUAACUUCGUG